AUUGGAUGUAACAUGAAAAUUGCUCUUCUUCUUGUGUUUUUUCUUCAGCUUUCUACCAGGAGCCCUAGCUCAAACUGCAUCCAUUGAGAAAGACAUUUUGAAAACACACCAGCUUUAAGAAGGACAAGGACCACAUAUCUACCAGAUAGCCUCCAAG